GAGGGAAAGGUGAAAAGAACCCCGGGAGGGGAGUGAAAUAGAACCUGAAACCGUGUGCCUACAAUCGGUGGGAGCACUUUUAUGUGUGACCGCGUACUUUUUGUAGAACGGGCCAGCGAGUUACGGUAUGCAGCAAGGUUAAGCACUUCUGGUGCGGAGCCGAAGGGAAACCGAGUCUGAAUAGGGCAACUAGUUGCAUAUCGUAGACCCGAAACCGGGUGACCUAUCCAUGGCCAGGAUGAAGCGAAAGUAAAAUUUCGUGGAGGUCCGAACCACGUUGGUGUUGAAAAACCAUGGGAUGAGCUGUGGAUAGCGGAGAAAUUCCAAUCGAACUCGGAGAUAGCUGGUUCUCCUCGAAAUAGCUUUAGGGCUAGCGUCGGGUAAUUGAGUAAUGGAGGUAGAGCACUGAAUGGGCUAGGGGCUGACAACAGUUACUGAACCCUAUCAAACUCCGAAUGCCAUUUACUUCUAUCCCGGCAGUCAGACUACGAGUGAUAAGAUCCGU
rnacentral:ncRNA from 1 species